rnacentral:rRNA from 1 species
AGCCAUGCAUGUCUAAGCACAUGCCUUAAUACGGUGAAGCCGCGAAUAGCUCAUUACAACAGCCAUCGUUUACUAGAAAAUCGUUAUCCUACUCGGAUAACUGUGGCAAUUCUAGAGCUAAUACGUGCAAAAAAGCUCAUACCGAAAGGAAUGAGCGCAUUUAUUAGAAUAAAAACCAAUCGGGUGUAAAAAGCCCGCGUUUUGGUGAAUCUGAAUAACUUUGCCGAUCGCACGGUCCAAGUACCGGCGACGUAUCUUUCAAGUGUCUGCCUUAUCAACUGUCGAUGGUAGGUUAUACGCCUACCAUGGUAGUAACGGGUAACGGAGAAUAAGGGUUCGACUCCGGAGAGGGAGCCUGAGAAACGGCUACCACAUCCAAGGAAGGCAGCAGGCGCGCAAAUUACCCACUUCCAGAACGGAGAGGUAGUGACGAAAAAUAACGAGACAGUCCUCUUCGAGGUCUGUCAUCGGAAUGGGUACAAUUUAAAUCCUUUAACGAGGAUCUAUUGGAGGGCAAGUCUGGUGCCAGCAGCCGCGGUAAUUCCAGCUCCAAUAGCGUAUAUUAAAGUUGUUGCGGUUAAAACGCUCGUAGUUGGAUCUGCGGCCUGGGAGAACGGUCCCCCGAAAGGGUGGUAACUGUUACUCUUAGCCUAAAUUUUUAGUCCGCUCUAUAGUGCCUUUAAUCGGGUGCUUAGAGUGACUAGAACGUUUACUUUGAAAAAAUUAGAGUGCUUAAAGCAGGCGAAAUCGCCUGAAUAAGGUGCAUGGAAUAAUGGAAUAGGACCUCGGUUCUAUUUUGUUGGUUUUCGGAGCCUGAGGUAAUGAU